UUAGGCAUUGCGGGAGAGACCGGGUGAAGCCCGGCGCCGUAGGAGCAAACCCUCCCCGGGAAACUCUCAGGCACCUGUACCGCAACGCGUAG
rfam:Leucobacter komagatae strain VKM ST2845 L_komagatae_03, whole genome shotgun sequence.